CGGAGGAUCCAAGCGUUAUCCGGAUUCAUUGGGUUUAAAGGGUGCGUAGGCGGAACGAUAAGUCAGUGGUGAAAGCCUGUAGCUUAACUACAGAACUGCCAUUGAUACUGUCGAUCUUGAGUAUAUUUGAUGUGGGCGGAAUGUGUCAUGUAGCGGUGAGAUGCUUAGAUAUGACACAGAACACCGAUUGCGAAGGGCAGCUCACAAAACUAUAACUGACGCUGAGGCACGAAAGCGUGGGGAUCAAACAGGAUUAGAUACCCUGGUAGUCCACGCCGUAAACUAUGAUUACUCGAUGUUUGCGAUACACUGUAAGCGUCUAAGCGAAAGCGAUAAGUAAUCCACCUGGGGAGUACGCUCGCAAGAGUG
rnacentral:rRNA from 1 species